rnacentral:lncRNA from 1 species
GGCUGAGUGGACUGGCGGGACGAGAAAAGGGGCGGGGCGUGCCCAAUCCGGGCUGAAGAGCGUUACCAUGGCAAACGUGCCGCGGAGGCCCUGAGAGGCCACCCGCCCUAUGUUGGUCUGCGAGAAAUCAAACUUCGAACAGGACAAGCCCGAAGCCCGCUUCUCCGGGAGACGGGGUGCCACAAUUACGAGGCUACUCCAAAACUUCUAUAAUGAUGGUAGAGUUCAGUGAAGUGGAGCUUCAGGCCUGCCAUCCCCAUGCUCCUGGCAAGCAGCAGCAUCUCCCCUGAGCAUGGUGGCAUAGGGCAUGCCAUUAAAACCACCUUGCUGCUGUUCAUCUCCACAUACUGAGUUGCUGUACACUUUGCAGUGGAAUUCCACCUUGCUGCGUCUGGUUGGCCAGAAGCCCUGCAGAAUACAGACUAUGAAGAUAAAUAGACAUUGAAGAAUCUAAAAUAUAAAGAUAGAGCUGGAAAACAUAGGGAGCAGAUUGGAAGUGAAGGAACUUUCAAGAAGAUGCUAAUACAUCUGUUCAUUCUGAAAUUACUGACAGCAACAAAGGUCAGAAGAUGUUGAAGAAUAUGGGUUGGAAAAAAGGAGAGGGCCUGGGGGAGGAUGGUGGGGAAUGAAAACUCUGAUCCAACUUUGGC